UUUUUUUUUGUGUGUGUGAACGCAUUGUAUGCUUUGUCAAGCCCCAUAAUACACUCCUCAUUUAUCACUCCAUACUUUGAUACUCUGCAAUUUUGUGCAUGUGUAGCUCUGCAUCACUGCAAUUGCAACAUCCUACAAACGGAGUGCCAUGAAAGGAAAAGGGGACAAUGCAGGAUACAGCUGCAAUUACUGUCCCCGGACCCAAACCAAGCACCUUGUUUCUCCUGCAAGCAACACAAAAUGAUUAAACCAGCACAGCAACUCCACCACAAUUGAAGAAAAGUGGCACUAGACACAUUUGGUCUGAAUCCUAGGUUAGGGAGGGACCGUGAGAUGCAGGAUUGCAGGUGCAGCACAUCAUCAACAAAGCAGAAAAGCAGUUAGUACUAAUCACACAGGGGCAGACAGACACAGCAGAAGGCAGACAGACAUACAGGUUGAAGAGAUGCAAAGCCAACCGUCCCCAAAGAAUUUCUUAGCUAAAGAUGGAGGCAACAACAGCGAGGUACAGAGAACAAAUCAUCAUGAAUGGCACCCACUACACACCGGCACUAGUACUACUGCUAAAUAGCAACAUCUAAUCGUAAUCGAAUUCCGACACUUAUGUACAUGUCUGCAACUGGUCUACUGCUUAGGUUCCAUCAUCCUGCUUCUUCCUGAUUUUGCUUUCCUGGAUCUUCCUCGGCCACUGUACAAGAGAUGAUUGUGGAAUGAACGUUGAACCAAGCAGGAUGCCCAGACGAGCGGAGCCUGGCUUGAUCGUUGUAUGGUUUCUGCCUC
rnacentral:lncRNA from 1 species